rnacentral:rRNA from 1 species
UCCUAUAGAAUAGCUAAGUAGAAUUGGGCAUCCUGUUCGCUCUGCCAUACACAAGCCGUUUAUCGGUGGAUUAGUAGUUGGGUGGGUGACCACCAGCGAAUACCUACUGUUGUAUGUU